rnacentral:lncRNA from 10 species
CUUGACUGCAAAGGGCGGCACGCAGCUGAUGUAAUGGUCGCUUAAGUGUUCACAAAUGCCUGAACACCCUGUCCUACCUGGUCCUACCUGGAUGCUGGCCUCAGUAAGCUCCUGGGCUCAUUGAAGAUGAACCUAGCAGUAGUAUUUACACCACUUGUUGUGUGCCCACUGUGGGCCCGGCGCCAUGCCGAGUGCUCUAUGGAUGUGAGAGAAACGGAGGCCCAGAAAGCAGAAAUGAUGUGUUAAGAUCACUCAUCAAGCUGAUGGUACAGAGUGCUGGGAGAGAAAAGCAUACGACAUAGACAGGGAGGUCAAGCUCCACCACGCAGAUGAGGUGCAGGCCACCAGUCUUCCUCUGCCACAUCUCUUUCUGAAAAGGUAACCCUGCACCGCCUUCCCAUUGGCUGCCACCUUGCAUCCCCU